GACGAACGCUGGCGGCGUGCUUAACACAUGCAAGUCGAACGGAAAGGCCCUGCUUUUGUGGGGUGCUCGAGUGGCGAACGGGUGAGUAACACGUGAGUAACCUGCCCUUGACUUUGGGAUAACUUCAGGAAACUGGGGCUAAUACCGGAUAGGAGCUCCUGCUGCAUGGUGGGGGUUGGAAAGUUUCGGCGGUUGGGGAUGGACUCGCGGCUUAUCAGCUUGUUGGUGGGGUAGUGGCUUACCAAGGCUUUGACGGGUAGCCGGCCUGAGAGGGUGACCGGCAACAUUGGGACUGACAUACGGACCAGACUCCUACGGGAGGCAGCAGUGGGGAAUAUUGCACACUGGGCGGAAGCCUGAUGCAGCAACGCCGCGUGCGGGAUGACGGCCUUCGGGUUGUAAACCGCUUUCGCCUGUGACGAAGCGUGAGUGACGGUAAUGGGUAAAGAAGCACCGGCUAACUACGUG
rnacentral:rRNA from 1 species